UACAGAGGUCUCAAGCGUUGUUCGGAUUCAUUGGGCGUAAAGGGUGCGUAGAUGGCGGGGUAAGUCAGGUGUGAAAUCUCGAGGCUCAACCUCGAAACUGCACUUGAUACUGCCUUGCUCGAGUACUGGAGAGGAGAUUGGAAUUUACGGUGUAGCAGUGAAAUGCGUAGAUAUCGUAAGGAAGACCAGUGGCGAAGGCGAAUCUCUGGACAGUUACUGACACUGAGGCACGAAGGCCAGGGGAGCAAACAGG
rnacentral:rRNA from 1 species